UCAUACAUGUGUUUAUGUUUGAUAAGGCGCUUAAAAAUUUAAUCAGGUACUAUAUAAUUCACGGCUAUCGUUUCAAUCGGUAUUGCACAGAAAAAUUGCACGUCUGUUUUAAAGACCAGCCAAACUAGGAAUUUUAAGGAUUGCUAUUUUUAACUAGAGAAAAAUAUGGUUUGUUACCAAUAUAGAGACAACGUCGGCAACGGGGUUGCAGGUAGCUUUAAAGAAUUGAACCUGGUCAUUAUAAAUUUUGUCAAAGGUCUACUGUUGAAUUUGGCAUUUUCAAACAAGAAAAUGUUACAAAAAAAGUUUAUAGAAAACAUGGACCAGGGGAGCUAUACGCCUAGAUUUACAGAACUUUCUUAUGACAUCAAACCAAUAUCAAACGCUGAUACCAGUGACAAGGACUACGCAGUUAUAGACAAAAUUGUAAAUGGAAGAGAAAAUAACAAACAUGUUACCAGUGCACUUCCGCUUGAAACAAUUCUGUCAUUGAGGAAAAAAAAUCCAUACUUAUUAUUUCCUGAAAAAAUUCAUUUUGAUUUAGGCACAGACAUAUCGCCUAAUGGGAAACACGGAAUUAUUUCAAACCGGCGUCUUAUAUUUUGUCCCAAACCUGUCCUUAAAGAUUUUAUUGAUUAUUUGUUAACCACUAGUGAAGAUUCUAAGACUGCAAUUUUACAAGACAAUGAUAGGAAAUGCAAAGUUCUAGUUCUUAUGCCAGAGUAUACCAGUAAGAAUGAAGAUCACUUACGUCAGUUAGUGUCAUUUCUUAUUCAUUCAAAAAAUCAAACAUUUCCUAUCGACAUAGGCUCCGGUCUAGAAAUAAAACCUGGUAAAUACGGUGGUCUAACUACCGUAAUAAAACAGAAAAAUAAUGUUACAAAGAAGUUUACUUUACGCUUGAAUGUUGUUACUUCAGAAAUGUUUGAAGAGGCAAUGAGGAACGCUCAACUAUUUUCAUUGGAACUUGCAUACUCGAACAUAUUUCCGAGUGACUGUCGUAUGUUUAUAUGCCUACCUGUAUACAAAGAUGGUUAUAUUAAUAGAAAAGAUAAAAAAGACAGGGGACAAAACAUAUAAUUGGAAUGCUUAAGGUGGCAUCCAAGCUUGCUUAAAACUUCUUUUUAUGAAUAAAUUGAUUCCAAUCACUAGCAAAAAUAUGUUGUUGCAUUUAGAAAAAAAACGAUAAAUAUUACACGUCUGUCGUUAUGAAUUAACUGCAAUAUUUGACAAAUAUGGUCUAUGUAUGGAUAACAAAAAGUAAUUGGAAAUGUUAUUUACUCGUAUAUGUCCUUUUUUACAUUGACUUUGUACUUUUUGAAAAAAUCUAUAUGAUAUUGAUAUUGCAUGUACAAAGAUUGUAAACAUUACACGCAUUACAGUGAGGGAUAAUUGUUACAUAUUGUGAACCUUGUUUGAAUUCCUUUAGCUGAUUGUAAGAAUGUAUUUAUACUUGCAUAAUAUUAUACAAAUGGACUGUCCAACAUAUGACUAGAGUGUGUAGACGUUAACAUACAUUUCCCCUACAGUCGAUGGACAGGCGCAGUCAAAUAGAUCCUGCAAUAUUUAUGUUUUGUCGUGUAGGGUGACACGUUGGUCUCUUUUUAUCUGUUUGUAUAAACUGGGCGACCCAUGGAUCUCCUCUUUUCUGUUUGUACAAAGUAUUUCACAUGUCUUCUUGUUGAGGUUCUGUUUAUAUAAUAAGCUGUCUCACAUUUACGCAUAGCUGGUUUCUUCAGUUUUGUUUCGGACGGUUAAUGGUCCAAUCAUAAGUUGAUGACAAUAUCUACAUAGUAUACAUGGUUCGUAUUUCAAAUGCACCCGACAAAAGUGUAGACAAACUAAUGUAACAUAAAGUUUUAUUUCUCAAAGUAAAUUCCACGACGUUAUGCAAGCGUGGGAUAAUUCCAGUGCCCAUGUUAUUUCGCAAUCCAUAGUGACCUAUCAUUUUAUAUACUUGUAUCUCGGAAAGCCCGCUGUCUUGACCGAAACAUCUCUGUAGCUACUCGUCAAAUUACAUAAAUGUAGUGCGUAUCAUCUUGCUAUGGAACUCUUUAUAAUUCGUAGAGCUGAAAAUAGAAAAACAAAUUAAAACACUAGAUGAAUUUUCACUUGGGUGUAUGGAUCUUUCUCAUGAUUGUUUGAAUGAUUUAGUUUGACCACUUGGAAGGCUCGCAAAGAUAAAAUAGAAGAAAAUCUUAAAAUAAGUUCUAGUAGAUUUGUUGAUAGAACUUGAAAACUAGCAUCUGUCUAUGACCCCUUGAAAGACAGUCAUUAAAAAUAAUCCAAAGGCAAAGGGUUCCAUGCUGUCUUAUGAUUCUUGUGCUGCGCUGUAAAUAGAUGUUCUUCUCAAUUUGUUUGAAAUUUUAUAUGUGAUAUGACAUUGAUAUAACAUUGUUCGGAUCUCUUUCAGAAAUGAAAAAUGAAAAUGUUUGAAGAACAAAAGAAGGAAGUAUGAAUGAUCUCGUAUGUGAAAUUGCAUUAUUUAUCAAUGUUGGUCAUUCCUAAAAUAAAUAGCCUAUCUAGGAUACGUACAGAAAAUCUUACAUAGAAUCAGUUUGUUAUAAAUAGUUUUGCAUAAUCACUGAAUAAUCUGCCGUGGCGUGGGUCUAGUGUGAUUUUAUAAAUGGGCAGGGUGAUAUUUUUCUGAACAAACAGUUGUACAAUUAUACUAUUUAUGCGUUUUAAAUACAGGCAAUCAGUUAAACAUUAUAUUUACUCUUUGAUAAUGUUGUGAUGUUUAGUAAAGUAAACAAAGGUUCGAUUAAAUAUUUCUCUGCUUGUAACGAAAUCUUUUAUAAUUCCCCUCUUGUAUUACCAUAAUGUACACUUUUAAGUAUAAUGUGUAUAUGAUUUUUUUUUUAUAGUUUUAAGCUUUCAAAAUAAAAAUAUACACCGGAUAACUUUUUUUUUAUACAAAAUGGCAUUAUCACAAAGAACGAUAAGAAUAAAUAUAAUAUUAUACCGAAACGCAUAAACACGUAAGAAUCUAAAUUUAACUUAUAAAACUAUUGACAUACUAGUAAACAAAAUGAUAAUCGAUACUUCAUGUCGAUACCCGAACAGAUCCGAGACAUCCGACUACAUGUUAGUAAAUAUUAAUAUUCGUAAAUAUUUACGUACGAUUAUGUGUUUUCGGAUUAAACAUCUGAUUGAUGUCACACCGCAUUCCUAGUUGAAUCCUUCACCAAGAGGCCGCCAUGUGGGAAAAGUUGCGUAAAUAUAUUCAAUGGCGAAGACAAGAGUGAGCCUUGACAGUCAUUUUAAAUCUUCAGGAAUGCUAAUAAGCAUAAACUAACCGGUAACAGACUUUAACAUGGUUUGCCAUGGUUCGCCAUCUUUUAAAAGUACAUGUAUUCAUCUAAGAUUGUCAUUUCAAUCCGGUAACACGUUGGCAACUAGACGUUUUGUCGUCUUGAUAAUCGGAAAAUGAUUUUUCGUGACAAUUUUAACAAGUAUAGCCUCGAGUUCAUGCGGAUGAAAAUCUGGUUUGACAAGGCUCGUUACAGAACGAUGAUACAGAAACAACUAGAAAAACAGCAGUAUCAUAGUAAUAUAUAUAUUUGAUGUGAAAGACCCGCACAAGUUACCAACAGUUAAAGUCGUAAUAUCAUGAGUUGAAUCAAGAAAACCAACUUAAUCAAUAUACCUUGACGGUAUGUCACAAUCAACUAUUAAAAAGUCUUCAGAACUAUUAUAAUAAUCGUAUUUAAAAAGCUGCACUUACUGUUACUCAAACGUUCGUAAAAUAUUGAUAUUUCAUCAGUCUGAGAAUGUUUUAGUAAAGGUGAUGCAGAACUAGAAUAGCACGAAAAAUUCAAGCUUGUAUCAAGUAUAAAGAAAACGAAAUGUAUCAAUCUAAAACAAGUCAAAAUCGACAAAUCAUCAGUUUAGAUUUAGAUAAAAGACGGAAGAAUAAAAAUGCAGCUUUCAGAUAUAGCAAGAAGUUAAAACUUUCUGAUACAUACUCCGAAUUUUGCCAUAGGUGUGAAGGUCACAAUAGUGCAACAAAAUCUGUUUAUAACGUAGUAUCGGAAAAAAUCGAAUCGAGCUCGGUGGUUAAAUAUAAAAAUGCAUGUUUGCGAUAUAGCAAAUCACAUCGGAAACAUAGUCUAGAUGUCAAAACUAGAACAACUCUCCGUAGUUCCGGACCACAGAGUGCAUCAAAGAUUGGAGUGCAUAACGUAUGUAUGAGGAAUAAAAAUGAAGUUUUAAAAUAUAGUUGUAAAAUGGUGAAGUCAAACCCGAAGCAGGAUAUCCUUUGUCCAAUAAAUGAACAAUGUUCGACAGAAUCCGCCAGUAAAAGAUUCAAUGGUUCAUUAGGUCCAACAUUAAAUACAGCGAUUCAGAAGAAAAGCAGUCAAAUUGUUUCCAAAAACAUUGAAAAUGAAAAUAUUUGUUCACUGUAUGCAAAACACAAACAUCAUAAAGAUCACGAUAUGACCGGCCAGAAAAAAUGAAAUCCAUUUAAAAGAACACUUUGGCCGCAUCGAUACUGAGAUACAGCAUGACUGCAGUCAUAGCACGAAUAUUCAAACUGAUUACAGGUGUGGCAGACAAAGCAUUAUUCCAGAAACAAAUGCCGGACAAUUACGAAAUGAUAGGCGUUUGAAUGUCAAUAAUGGUAAAAAGAAUAAAAACGAAUGGUCACUGCUAGGUAAUGAAAACGGUUUCAAGUCUUGGUCUGGCAAUAAACAAGAGAACACCGACACACAGACGAAUACAGUAUUUCAAGAAGGUGGCUGCAUUAGUUGGAACGCAAACAAGAAACAACCUGUGCCAAUGCACAAACCAUUUCCGAAAGACUGUAUCUCAGGAAUCCGUACGGGAUGUGGAUGGAGGACUGUUAGCUUAGGAAGCGGUAUAGUAAAGGAGAAAACUGAUAAUAUGUAUACCGACGUUCCUUCAAAUACUGACAGAAACGACCUGUGCCAGAAGAAGCAAAAAGAAACUGAAGUUUUCUACGAAAAUAUGCUUGUAAAAGAGAAUAAAUGCACGCCUGAACAAGAUGCAAAACGUAAAGAUGGUACAUCUAAUUGUAAUAGUUUAAACAAAAUCAAAGAUGCUGUAAAAGAUAAUCCUACAGUGAAACGUCAAAUGGUCUGUACCGAAUAUUUGUUGGUUGCUGUUACACGUUUCACUGUUGAAAAGCUGAGACAAUCUCUCAGAGAAGUAUAUUCCAAUCUAUCCAAUGAAAAAGAACUUUUCUGUGAAGAUGAUCGAAAAGGUUUGAAAUUACGUAUGUUGCAUAAAAAUCCACUGUAUCCAGUAUGAUUGUUUGUAAAUACUUGUUUUAUUUAUAUUUUACUACACCAUACCCUUAUCUCUUCCAGAAGACUUUCUCUACACGUUGCUUUAUAUAUUAUUCUAUUGAAACAUCAUGUACAUAAAUCACACACACACACAUAUAUAUAUGCUAUUUGUUGAUACUGACACUGUGUUGUGAUGCCACAUGAAUAUUUUAAAGGUGGUCAAUUGAAUGAUAGUUUGAAAUUUUAAAAUAUACUGUACCUAUUUUUAAUUCUAUGUUCUUAGGAGAUAGAAACUGGAAGUACUUUUUAUAAUCUGUUUUAUUUUCUAACACGGUUGCUUAAAGAGGUUAUACACAUAUAAGUAGAUAUAGUUUGAAAUAUAUAAAAUGUUUAUCAUGUUUAUAGGAGUUGUAAUACAUUUCUAGUAGAAGUUGCAUUUACAUCAGGUCAAAAGAAAUACAAUUCAUGUAAAUCUUGAUUAUCGUCCUUUUAUCAAUUUUGGUUGCCUAUGUAUAGAGAUACAAUACAACUAUUCUUGAAGCUUUGAUCUAUUUAUAUCAAUAUACACAAAUGCAGAAAUAAUUACUGUCAAUUACAAAAUUAAACCAUUUACACUGCUGAUUUCAUUAAAACUGCACAGCUAUUGUGACAUAUUCUUAUAGUGUGUGCAUUAAUAAAAACGAACUCCUUGUUUCUAGGCACAUGGCUUCGUCGAAUGUUUUCUUUAAAGUUUGGUUCAUGAAUUGACAAAACCAUGAAAUCAAUGAUUGUUUGUAUUUUUCCCCCCUUAUACUUUCAUCAACACCAUGUUAUCAAUGUCUACAAGACAUAAAACUUUGAUAGAAUUUCAGAUCCCCGUUUUAGGCAAUUCGUAGAAUGAGUAGAAACUAUAACAAUUUGGUAUCCUACAACGUAAUUGACCAUCUUAACUCAAUGAUUGUGAGCUGACAGACAUUUUGUCAGACUUUUGUUAACGUAUUUUGCAUUGUUUGGUUUUAAGUAAUAAUUUACUGAAGUUUAUAUCGCAAUUACAAAAUAGUCGCAUUGAAAAACACAUGUGUAGCUGCUGAAAAAAUGUUCAAAUACAAUAUUUGUUUUUGCUCUUGUACGGGGAAACAAUUUAGGGAAUGCUGACCCGGUUGAAAACUGUUGACAUUUAUGGGGUCAGAUUUUUUUGGUCGGAGAAUGAACAUAUACACCAAAUACUAAAAAGAUAACAGAUACUCUGCUUCAAAAGAUAGGACUUUCAAGGGAUUGCUGAAGAGGUAGAUGUCUUUGUGUCUCAAAUGAAAAGACAUUUAGAGGUUUUGUUGAACAGAUACAUGUGCCUCAAAUGACAGGACAUUCAGAGGUGAUAUGGAAGAAGAAAACUAUUCUGUGCCUCAAAUUAUAGGACAUUUAGAGGUAAUGUCAAAUAGAUAAAUGUUAUUUAAUUAUUAUUAUUUCUUAAUAAUAGAUAAUUGUGAAGUGUUUUGAAGAGACAAAUAUUGGUGUGACUCAAAUGCUGACAUUCAGAUGAAUUGUUAAGGACAAACGACAAUUAUGCCCCAACUGAUCAGUCACCCUCAAGUGAUUUUGAGUACAUUUAGGAAAAUAAUUCCAUGAUAGGAAAGUACUCAGUUUUGUUGAAGAGAAUGUUGCUUUGUGACUCGAAUGAUAGGACAUUCAGAAGAGUUGUUGAAGAAAAAAAUGAAAAUUAUUCAAGUGAUCAAAAAUUGUGAUUUUGAAUAUAUCAAGGAAAAUAAUUUAAUAAUAGGACAGUUGCAGAGGUGAUGUUAAAUGUUUGAAGAAAGUGUGUUGCUACUGAUAUUUAGAUGAAAAAAUACAUAGUACUGCAUAGUAGCCGUCGUUUAUAUGACAGAAAAAUUGUUGAAAAAGACGUUAAACCCGAACACACACACACACACGCACGCACGCACGCACGCACGCACACACACACACAAACACUGCAUAGUAGACUAAAGCGUUUCAGUUAAGAUAUAAAGCAAUCUGUCUUUCACCGUAGGAAAGCUGUAAUGAAUAUACUGUCUUCAAAAGAACAUCUAGACCCAAUACUUAAAAGAUAAUAGAUAUUGUUCUUCGAACGAUAGAAAUUUUUAGGGCGUUGUUAAGAGAUAAAUGUAUUUGUGUCUCAAAUGAAAGGAUAUUUAGAGGUAAUGUCAAAUAGAUAAAUGUUAUUUAAUUAUUAUUAUUUCUUAAUAAUACAUAAUUGUGAAGUGUUUUGAAGCGACAAAUAUUGGUGUGACUCAAAUGCUAUGACAUUCAGAUGAAUUGUUAAGGACAAACGACAAUUAUGCCCCAACUGAUCAGUCACCCUCAAGUGAUUUUGAGUACAUUUAGGAAAAUAAUUCCAUGAUAGGAAAGUACUCAGUUUUGUUGAAGAGAAUGUUGCUUUGUGACUCGAAUGAUAGGACAUUCAGGAGAGUUGUUGAAGAAAAAAAUGAAAAUUAUUCAAGUGAUCAAAAAAUGUGAUUUUGAAUAUAUCAAGGAAAUAAUUUAAUAAUAGGACAGUUGCAGAGGUGAUGUUAAAUGUUCGAAGAAAGUGUGUUGCUACUGAUAUUUAGAUGAAGAAAUACAUAGUACUGCAUAGUAGCCGUCGUUUAUAUGACAGAAAAAUUGUUGAAAAAACGUUAAACCCGAACACACACACACACACACACACACACACACACACACACUGCAUAGUAGACUAAAGCGUUUCAGUUAAGAUAUAAAGCAAUCUGUCUUUCACCGUAGGAAAGCUGUAAUGAAUAUGCUGUCUUCAAAAGAACAUCUAGACCCAAUACUUAAAAGAUAACAGAUAUUGUUCUUCGAACGAUAGAAAUUUUUAGGGCGUUAUUGAAGAGAUAAAUGUAUUUGUGUCUCAAAUGAAAGGAUAUUUAGAGGUUUAGUUGAACAGAUACAUAUGUCUCAAAUUAUAGGACAAUCAGAGGUGAUAUGGAAGAAGUCAAUUAUUUUGUGCCUCAAAUUGUAGGACAUUUGAAAGUAAUGUAGAAUAGAUAAAGGUUAUUUUGCCUCGAAUGAUAUGUCAUUUUGAAGAGACAAAUAUUGGUAUGAUUCGAAUGCUAUGGCAUUCAGAUAUGUUGUUAAGGACAAACGAUAAUUAUGCCUCAAAUGAUCAGUCACCCUCAAGUGAUUUUGAGUACAUUUAGGAAAUUAUUUCCAUAAUAGGAAAUUACUCAGUUUUGUUGAAGAGAAUGUUGCUUUGUGACUCGAAUGAUAGGACAUUCAGAAGAGUUGUUGAAGAAAAAAAUGACAAUUAUUCCUCAAGUGAUCAGACAAGCUUAUAUGAUUUGAAACCUAUUAAGGAAAGUAGUUUCAUAAUAGAUCAGCAGAGGUGAUGCCUAACGUUCGAAGAAAGUGCGUUGUUAUUGAUAUUUAGAUGAAGAAAUACACAGUACCACAUAAUACAUGUAGACUUUGUGUUUCAGUUAAGAUAUAAGGCAGUCUGCCUUUAACGGUACGAAAGAUGUAAUGAAUAUACUGUCUUCAAAAGAAUUCAGCGGAAGAGCUGAUGCUUAUGAUAAAGAAACAUGUGUCGAUAAUAAACGUUUUAUACACAAGAAGCAAUGGAAAUGUACCUCAACUGACAAAAUUAGACAAACAGAAUGAUUCGUCACAAAAUGAUGAAUUAAACUUACUUCUACACAGAUAUUAUGAUGUGUGAUCAAUAUUUUAUGGGUAUUGCUACUUUUAUAGAACUCUAAAACUUUGCAGAAAAAAAAACAAUUUAAUCAAACUGUCACGGGAAAUGUCUUGUCAAAGAAGUAAACUUUGCAUUUCGUUGCAGCUCGUAUUGUUACGUUCUCCGUAUUUGGCUUUAAUAAUAUCCCUUUUGGGCAGACCGGAUGGAAUUAACGACCAGGAGUCAUUUUCUCUAGUGGUAGUGCAGCAUGCUAGUAACCAAACUGUAGACCGAAACUUAUCAUUUUAUGGACUUUUGUAUCAUGAUAUUUAAAAAAAAAAUCUUAAUUGUAUAAUUCAUUGUAAAGAUAUGUAACCUUACUAUGCUACACACUAACCGACUGAUUGCAUUUUAAUAAUAUCAUUGUAUUUCUUUUACUUUUUGGUAAGUUUAAAUGUUCUUAUUAUAUUUUAAAAUGUUCGUUUAUGUAGCUUUUAGGUUUUUAUACGCCCGUUUGAAAAACGGGACGUAUUAUGGGAACGCCCCUGGAGGGCGGGCGGGCGGCGUCCACAGACUUUAUCCGGAGAAUAUCUUCUUCAUGCAUGGAGGGAUUAUGAUAAAACUUUGCACAGUUGUUCACCACCACAAGGCGGAGUGUCAUGUGCAAGAACCAGGUCCUUAGGUCUAAGGUCAAGGUCAAAAUUAGAGGUCAAAGGUCAAAUUCAAUAAUGACUUUGUUCGGAGCAUAUCUACUUUAUGCAUGGAGGGAUUUUGAUGUAACUUAGCAAAAUUGGUUACCAUUAUGAGACAAAAUGUCAUGCGCCAGAACCAGGUCCCUUGGUCUAAGGUCAAGGUAACACUUAGAGGUCAAAGGAUACAAGAAUGAAAACUUUGUUCAGGCAUUUCUUCUUCAUGCAUUCAGGUAUUUUAAUAUAACUUAGCACAAAUGUUCACCACCACAAGACGGAGCGUCAUAUCUUCUUCAUGCAUGGAGGGAUUAUGAUAAAACUUUGCACAAUUGUUCACCACCACAAGGCGGAGUGUCCUGUGCAAGAACCAGGUCCCUAGGUCUAAGGUCAAGGUCACACUUAGAGGUCAAGUUCAAAUUCAAGAAUGACUUUGUCCGGAGCAUAUCUUCUUCUUGCAUGGGGGGAUUUUGAUGUAACUUGGCACAAUUGUUCACCAUAAUAAGACGGAGUGUCAUGCGCAAGAACCACGUCCCUAGGUCUAAGGUCAAGGUCACACUUAGAGGCCAAAUGUCAGAUACAAGAAUGACUUUGUCCGGAGCAUUUCUUCUUCAUGCAUGGAGGGACUUUAAUGAUACCUGGCACAGUUGAACACCAUCAUGAGACGGAGUGUCAUGCGCAGGUCCCUUCUUUAGAAUUACCUCCUUUUGUUGUUACUAUAGAUAGCUUAUAUUACUAGUCGUAGGGAAAAAUCGAGACCACUUUUCUUUAGUACAACAUGCAUGUUACAUCCAAUUUUGAGGUGUAUUUUGACCUAUCUCUAACCGUUAAGGAUUUUUGUGUGGACUUAACAUUUUUUUUUAGUGGGGGGGGGGGGGGGGGGUGUUAACGAUUAGCUUCCCUUAGCGCAGGUCCCUGCUUUAAAAUUUCUUUCCUUUCUUGUUACUUUUAAUAGCUUAUAUUGUAACUUUUUCAUUACUAGUCGUAGGGAAAAAUCGAGACCACUUUUCUGUAGUACAACAUGCAUGUUACAUUCAAUUUUGAGGUGUAUUUUGACCUAUCUCUACCUGGUAAAGAUUUUUGUGUGGAUUUACAAUUUUUAGGGGGAUUUUUUUAAGAUUAACUUCCCUUAGUUGAUACUAUAAAUAACUUAUAUUGUAACUUUUUUAUAAUUGACCGUAGGGAAAAACCAAGACCACUUUUCUGUUGUACAACAUAGUUGAUACUUUCAAAUUAUAGGUGUUUAAGGUAUCUCUACCUGGUAAGGAGUUUUUUGUGGACUAAGUCUUAGAAAAGCACAAUUAUUACAAUAAACCAAAAAAUCAAAAUUCCAUUUGCAAAUACAUGUGGUAGUGUAAAGACAUUUUCUGUGAUGGGCGUAUAUUGUGACAUUCUAGCACUCUUGAUUUAUCUGUCUGUCUAUCAUACAUCAUAAAUACGAAUGACUUUAUAUUAAGUUUUGAUGAUACCAUGUAUAUAAAGAAAUCGAACUUUAUAUUAAAACGUAAAUAGGGGUACUUUUUUGUAGAAAUCGAGAUACGUAUAACAAUUAAUAAUUUGAAUAAUCAAUUAUAUUACUUUCAACCAAAUUUUGUCUCGAGUAGUAUAAUGAGAAUUCUGUGUUUAAAGAAAUACAAUAUUCGUAGAAUAUA